rnacentral:tRNA from 2 species
GGGCUCGUAGCUCAGCUGGUUAGAGCGCACGCUUGAUAAGCGUGAGGUCGGUGGUUCGAUCCCACCCGGGCCCA